rnacentral:rRNA from 1 species
GACGAACGCUGGCGGCGUGCCUAACACAUGCAAGUCGAGCGAGUGAAUCUCCUUCGGGAGUGAAGCUAGCGGCGGACGGGUGAGUAACACGUGGGCAACCUGCCUCAUAGAGGGGAAUAGCCUUUCGAAAGGAAGAUUAAUACCGCAUAAGAUUGUAGCUUCGCAUGAAGUAGCAAUUCAAGGAGCAAUCCGCUAUGAGAUGGGCCCGCGGCGCAUUAGCUAGUUGGUGAGGUAACGGCUCACCAAGGCGACGAUGCGUAGCCGACCUGAGAGGGUGAUCGGCCACAUUGGGACUGAGACACGGCCCAGACUCCUACGGGAGGCAGCAGUGGGGAAUAUUGCACAAUGGGGGAAAGCCUGACGGAGCGACGCCGCGUGCACGAAGAAGGCCUUCGGGUUGUAAAGUGCUUUUGCUAGGGAACAAUAUUAUGAGCGUACCUAGAGAAUAAGGGGUUGCUAACUCUGUGCCAGCAGCCGCCGUAA